rnacentral:rRNA from 1 species
GCGACCCCAGGAUGGGCGGUGACCCGCGGAGUUAA